GGGAUCUAGCUCAGUUGGUAGAGUGUUUGCUUAGCAUGCACAAGGUCCUGGGUUCAACCCCUAGCCCA
rnacentral:tRNA from 1 species